AUUAAACGCUGGCGGCAUGCCUUACACAUGCAAGUCGAACGGUAACAGGUCUUCGGAUGCUGACGAGUGGCGAACGGGUGAGUAAUACAUCGGAACGUGCCCGAGAGUGGGGGAUAACGAGGCGAAAGCUUUGCUAAUACCGCAUACGAUCUCAGGAUGAAAGCAGGGGACCGCAAGGCCUUGCGCUCACGGAGCGGCCGAUGGCAGAUUAGGUAGUUGGUGGGAUAAAAGCUUACCAAGCCGACGAUCUGUAGCUGGUCUGAGAGGACGACCAGCCACACGGGGACUGAGACACGGCCCAGGCUCCUACGGGAGGCAGCAGUGGGGAAUUUUGGACAAUGGGCGCAAGCCUGAUCCAGCCAUGCCGCGUGCAGGAUGAAGGCCUUCGGGUUGUAAACUGCUUUUGUACGGAACGAAAAGACUCCUUCUAAUAAAGGGGGUCCAUGACGGUACCGUAAGAAUAAGCACCGGCUAACUACGUGCCAGCAGCCGCCGCCGUAA
rnacentral:rRNA from 1 species